GGAGCUUUUAUAAGAAUCCUAAGUUAGUUCCUAUUCUUAUUGUUGAUGGUUGACUUAUGGGAUGUUGUGAUCAGCUGAUGUUAAAGCUGCAAUUAUGUGGCUACCCUUUUGGGAUCACAAACGGCCAGCGUCGGACAUUGAACCGGUCAGGGCACAGUGCCACAGAUGUACCAGAAUAAGAGGAGAACAGCUCCGCGCCGAAGCGAACCACCGCAGUAUGGCGCAGUUUGUGUCUCCAGGUGGACAUGGGGCCAUGGCGGUGUGUGUGUCCAUAAUGAGGGUUUUUGUGGGAGCGAGGAGGGGUGGAUGAAGGAGAAUUACAUCUCCGAAAAGAAAUCUGCAGCGGAAUGUUUGCGACAGCUUGCCGGCAGAAGUGCACCAUAUUAGCGACGUCAGAUCGAAUGGCUGAGACUGAUUGAUCGAUUGAUUUCGCGACCCUCCCUUCAUCUCUCCGGAUCGCUUCAUUAGCACCUCGUUGUGUCGGUUGCUGGGGCGCGGCCUGGGAGGUCUCCGUCGCCCGGUGGCGCCCAGACGCGGCACCGGAGCUGCAAAC